CACGUAGGGCGCAAGCGUUGUCCGGAAUCAUUGGGCGUAAAGAGCUCGUAGGCGGUUUGUCACGUCUGCUGUGAAAACUCGGGGCUUAACCCCGAGCCUGCAGUGGAUACGGGCAGACUAGAGGUAGGUAGGGGAGAAUGGAAUUCCCGGUGUAGCGGUGAAAUGCGCAGAUAUCGGGAGGAACACCAAUGGCGAAGGCAGCUCGCUGGGACGGUACUGACGCUGAGGCGCGAAAGCGUGGGGAGCAAACAGG
rnacentral:rRNA from 1 species